GAGGAGAGCAAGGUAUCUCCACUAACUGGCGUACAUCCUUUAACCAUCGUGACCUUCCGCUUCCCAUCUGCAAAAUGGGCGCUCUGCUCUGCAGCCGAGAGUUUCCCGGUGUUAACAAUUUGGACAGUGGUUCCCAGUUUUCUGAGGCGGAGGUGUCUGGGGAUGAAGAAUGACGUUUCAGGAGGAAAGCACGGCUUGCCAAGCGGUGCCAUGUCCGCACCUGGACCCAAAUUGGUGAACCUGGGCCGUCCAAGCAGAACGUGGGAACUUAACCACUGCGCCACCAGGCCUGCCCCUAGCACAAUGCUUUUGAGAGUCAUCCAUGUGUUUGUGUAUCAGUAGCUCCCUCCUUAUCGUUGGAAGUGCCCAGACAUCAGGUGUGUGCACCUGGAUCGGCCUUGGCUGGACCUCCGAGG
rnacentral:lncRNA from 1 species